GCAGCUUCGACAACUCCAAAUUAUGGUUCCGGAAAAAAUCCGUAAGGAAAAGACGGGACUGACAGGAGAAAAUGGAAGCAGAAAUGACUGAACUCCACCUUUACCUGCCAAAGGGGGCUUCGCUCCUGAGGGAAAAGUUCAAAGUACUUCUGUGCAAGCGGGACAGGAGGAAGGGUCUGUAGGCGCAGCCGUGUCCAGCACUGGAGGAAGCGCACCAAGCUCUCAAAGGUGUACAGGCCCAGCCGGUCAUUUCCAUAAUUGGACAGAUGGGUCAUAAAGAUGCUAAUCUGUAAGGGGGUACCUGCAUUUCAGAUUUGGAGAGCCUACCCACCUCUGAAUUAGCCUUGGUGAGUAAAGGUCCCAGCCUGCAAACACCUUGACUCUACAAUCUUCUGGCCCUUCCUCUCAGCACCUUACCGGAUUAAGCAGCACUGUCAGAAAGAGCUCUCCACCUCGGAUGCUCCGGUCUAGUUCACGAGAGCCUCCAGGAUACUCAUUAUAGAAGAUUGUGUGAGUGAAGAGGCCACAUGUCUGCCGAGGCAGCACCUGGAG